AGUGAACGCUGGCGGCGUGCCUAAUACAUGCAAGUCGAACGGAAUUUAAAAGAGCUUGCUCUUUUAAAUUUAGUGGCGCACGGGUGAGUAAUAUAUAGCUAAUCUGCCCCUUGCUGGAGGACAACAGUUAGAAAUGACUGCUAAUACUCCAUACUCCUUUUUACCAUAAGAUAAAUCGGGAAAGAAUUUCGGCAAGGGAUGAGACUAUAUCGUAUCAGCUAGUCGGUGGGGUAACGGCCUACCGAGGCUAUGACGCGUAACUGGUCUGAGAGGAUGAUCAGUCACAUUGGAACUGAGACACGGUCCAAACUCCUACGGGAGGCAGCAGUAGGGAAUAUUGCGCAAUGGGGGAAACCCUGACGCAGCAACGCCGCGUGGAGGAUGACACUUUUCGGAGCGUAAACUCCUUUUGUUAGGGAAGA
rnacentral:rRNA from 1 species